rnacentral:rRNA from 1 species
GGUUAAGCGACUAAGCGUACACGGUGGAUGCCCUGGCAGUCAGAGGCGAUGAAGGACGUGCUAAUCUGCGAUAAGCGUCGGUGAGGUGAUAUGAACCGUUAUAACCGGCGAUUUCCGAAUGGGGAAACCCAGUGUGUUUCGACACACUAUCAUUAACUGAAUCCAUAGGUUAAUGAGGCGAACCGGGGGAACUGAAACAUCUAAGUACCCCGAGGAAAAGAAAUCAACCGAGAUUCCCCCAGUAGCGGCGAGCGAACGGGGAGGAGCCCAGAGCCUGAAUCAGUGUGUGUGUUAGUGGAAGCGUCUGGAAAGGCGCGCGAUACAGGGUGACAGCCCCGUACACAAAAAUGCACAUAUUGUGAGCUCGAUGAGUAGGGCGGGACACGUGGUAUCCUGUCUGAAUAUGGGGGGACCAUCCUCCAAGGCUAAAUACUCCUGACUGACCGAUAGUGAACCAGUACCGUGAGGGAAAGGCGAAAAGAACCCCGGCGAGGGGAGUGAAAAAGAACCUGAAACCGUGUACGUACAAGCAGUGGGAGCCUCUUAAUGGGGUGACUGCGUACCUUUUGUAUAAUGGGUCAGCGACUUAUAUUCUGUAGCAAGGUUAACCGAAUAGGGGAGCCGAAGGGAAACCGAGUCUUAACUGGGCGUUAAGUUGCAGGGUAUAGACCCGAAACCCGGUGAUCUAGCCAUGGGCAGGUUGAAGGUUGGGUAACACUAACUGGAGGACCGAACCGACUAAUGUUGAAAAAUUAGCGGAUGACUUGUGGCUGGGGGUGAAAGGCCAAUCAAACCGGGAGAUAGCUGGUUCUCCCCGAAAGCUAUUUAGGUAGCGCCUCGUGAAUUCAUCUCCGGGGGUAGAGCACUGUUUCGGCAAGGGGGUCAUCCCGACUUACCAACCCGAUGCAAACUGCGAAUACCGGAGAAUGUUAUCACGGGAGACACACGGCGGGUGCUAACGUCCGUCGUGAAGAGGGAAACAACCCAGACCGCCAGCUAAGGUCCCAAAGUCAUGGUUAAGUGGGAAACGAUGUGGGAAGGCCCAGACAGCCAGGAUGUUGGCUUAGAAGCAGCCAUCAUUUAAAGAAAGCGUAAUAGCUCACUGGUCGAGUCGGCCUGCGCGGAAGAUGUAACGGGGCUAAACCAUGCACCGAAGCUGCGGCAGCGACACUAUGUGUUGUUGGGUAGGGGAGCGUUCUGUAAGCCUGUGAAGGUGGCCUGUGAGGGUUGCUGGAGGUAUCAGAAGUGCGAAUGCUGACAUAAGUAACGAUAAAGCGGGUGAAAAGCCCGCUCGCCGGAAGACCAAGGGUUCCUGUCCAACGUUAAUCGGGGCAGGGUGAGUCGACCCCUAAGGCGAGGCCGAAAGGCGUAGUCGAUGGGAAACAGGUUAAUAUUCCUGUACUUGGUGUUACUGCGAAGGGGGGACGGAGAAGGCUAUGUUGGCCGGGCGACGGUUGUCCCGGUUUAAGCGUGUAGGCUGGUUUUCCAGGCAAAUCCGGAAAACCAAGGCUGAGGCGUGAUGACGAGGCACUACGGUGCUGAAGCGACAAAUGCCCUGCUUCCAGGAAAAGCCUCUAAGCAUCAGGUAACAUCAAAUCGUACCCCAAACCGACACAGGUGGUCAGGUAGAGAAUACCAAGGCGCUUGAGAGAACUCGGGUGAAGGAACUAGGCAAAAUGGUGCCGUAACUUCGGGAGAAGGCACGCUGAUAUGUAGGUGAAGCGACUUGCUCGUGGAGCUGAAAUCAGUCGAAGAUACCAGCUGGCUGCAACUGUUUAUUAAAAACACAGCACUGUGCAAACACGAAAGUGGACGUAUACGGUGUGACGCCUGCCCGGUGCCGGAAGGUUAAUUGAUGGGGUUAGCGGUAACGCGAAGCUCUUGAUCGAAGCCCCGGUAAACGGCGGCCGUAACUAUAACGGUCCUAAGGUAGCGAAAUUCCUUGUCGGGUAAGUUCCGACCUGCACGAAUGGCGUAAUGAUGGCCAGGCUGUCUCCACCCGAGACUCAGUGAAAUUGAACUCGCUGUGAAGAUGCAGUGUACCCGCGGCAAGACGGAAAGACCCCGUGAACCUUUACUAUAGCUUGACACUGAACAUUGAGCCUUGAUGUGUAGGAUAGGUGGGAGGCUUUGAAGUGUGGACGCCAGUCUGCAUGGAGCCGACCUUGAAAUACCACCCUUUAAUGUUUGAUGUUCUAACGUGGGCCCCUAAUCGGGGUUGCGGACAGUGUCUGGUGGGUAGUUUGACUGGGGCGGUCUCCUCCUAAAGAGUAACGGAGGAGCACGAAGGUUGGCUAAUCCUGGUCGGACAUCAGGAGGUUAGUGCAAUGGCAUAAGCCAGCUUGACUGCGAGCGUGACGGCGCGAGCAGGUGCGAAAGCAGGUCAUAGUGAUCCGGUGGUUCUGAAUGGAAUGGCCAUCGCUCAACGGAUAAAAGGUACUCCGGGGAUAACAGGCUGAUACCGCCCAAGAGUUCAUAUCGACGGCGGUGUUUGGCACCUCGAUGUCGGCUCAUCACAUCCUGGGGCUGAAGUAGGUCCCAAGGGUAUGGCUGUUCGCCAUUUAAAGUGGUACGCGAGCUGGGUUUAGAACGUCGUGAGACAGUUCGGUCCCUAUCUGCCGUGGGCGCUGGAGAACUGAGGGGGGCUGCUCCUAGUACGAGAGGACCGGAGUGGACGCAUCACUGGUGUUCGGGUUGUCAUGCCAAUGGCACUGCCCGGUAGCUAAAUGCGGAAGAGAUAAGUGCUGAAAGCAUCUAAGCACGAAACUUGCCCCGAGAUGAGUUCUCCCUGAGACUUAGAGUCUCCUGAAGGAACGUUGAAGACGACGACGUUGAUAGGCCGGGUGUGUAAGCGCAGCGAUGCGUUGAGCUAACCGGUACUAAUGAACCGUGAGGCUUAACCUU